UGCACCCUUAGCUUCAAACUUCUGGCAUAAAGCUAAAAACACUCAGACUGCUGCAUUUAAAUGGUGUUGUGAUGGGUGUACCAGUUGCUGUGGUGCUACAUGGUGAGCUCACAGAUGGUGGAAGCAGUGGUGAGCAAUGAGGACACACGAGGGUGUGCAAAAUGGGCAACAGUUACUGGCUUGAAGGAAGUGGAUUUCAAAGGUAAUGGAGUCUGUUGAUGUGGAAGUUCCAGUUGCUGGAGUGGCGCACAAUGAGGUUACAGACCAUUUUUAGGUGUGACCUAGGCAACAAGCAUAAAAAAGACACAGGGAAGGCUUUAUGUAUCCAAUCUUUAGAAGGAAGGAGAAAAUCACAGUACCUAGAAGAAAAAUUACACAGAGAAAACAUGAAAACUGACACAAGGAAGCUUGAACCUGCACUACUAUGAAUCAUUGUGAAAAACAACAUUGCUCCUGCCAACAUCCAUUUUACCUAUC